AGCAGCCGCGGUAAUUCCAGCUCCAAUAGCGUAUAUUAAAGUUGCUGCAGUUAAAAAGCUCGUAGUUGAAUUUCGGGACCAUCAUGUCGGUCGUGCCUCGGUACGUACUGGCGUUGUUGGUUUCCCCCUUCUGAAGAACCUCGAUGCCAUUAAUUUGGUGUCGUGGGGAAUCAGGACUGUUACUUUGAAAAAUUAGAGUGUUUAAAGCAAGCAUACGCUUGAAUACAUUAGCAUGGAAUAAUGAAAUAGGACGUUUGAUUCUAUUUUGUUGGUUUCUAGGAUCGACGUAAUGAUUAAUAGGGAUAGUUGGGGGCAUUAGUAUUCAAUUGUCAGAGGUGAAAUUCUUGGAUUUAUUGAAGACUAACUACUGCGAAAGCAUUUGCCAAGGAUGUUUUCAUUAAUCAAGAACGAAAGUUAGGGGAUCGAAGACGAUCAGAUACCGUCGUAGUCUUAACCAUAAACCUAUGCCGACUAGGGAUCGGAUGAUGUUAAUUUUUAAUGUACUUCAUUCGGCGCCUUA
rnacentral:rRNA from 1 species